GCAGUCGGGCGGCUCGUCGCUGACACCCUCGGGGUGUUUGAGGAAAGUCCGGGCAACGCAGAGCGCCAUAUUUCUUAACGGGAAACUAUCGGUGACGGUAGAGUAGCGUGACAGAAAAUAACCGCCGCUCCUCCCCGUGGGGAGCGGUAAGGGUGAAAAGGUGGGGUAAGAGCCCACCGGACCGGAUAGCGAUAUUCGGUGCCGCACGCCUUAUGGGUUGCAAGGUCAAGUAUACCGGCAUUUAAGGGUUGCUCGCCCAUUGCCGGGGGGUAGACUGCUAUAGAGCGUUGGCAACAACGGUCACAGAUAAAUGACGGGCCGGCAACGUAACUCCUUGUCUUUGCACAGGAAAGUGCGGGGCUGACAUAACCCGGCUUACAGUCCGGCUGCUUUU
rnacentral:RNase_P_RNA from 1 species